rnacentral:rRNA from 1 species
GGAAUUGACGGGGCCCGCACAAGCGGUGGAGCAUGUGGUUAAUUCGACGCAACGCGAAGAACCUUACCAGGGCUUGACAUCCCCUGACCGCGUAUGAAAGUACGUUUUCACCCUCGGGUGACAGGGAGACAGGUGGUGCAUGGUUGUCGUCAGCUCGUGUCGUGAGAUGUUGGGUUAAGUCCCGCAACGAGCGCAACCCCUACGUUUAGUUGCUAACGCGUGAAGGCGAGCACUCUAGACGAACUGCCGUUGACAAAACGGAGGAAGGUGGGGAUGACGUCAAAUCAUCAUGCCCCUUAUGUUCUGGGCUACACACGUGCUACAAUGGCCGGUACAGACGGACGCAAAGCCGCGAGGUGGAGCAAAUCCUAAAAAGCCGGUCUCAGUUCGGAUUGCAGGCUGCAAUUCGCCUGCAUGAAGUCGGAAUCGCUAGUAAUCGCAGGUCAGCAUACUGCGGUGAAUACGUUCUCGGGUUUU